rnacentral:rRNA from 1 species
CAGGGUGCACUAAAGCCCUCCCCAUGCGUCCGGCCGCCUAUGGCCGCGGGAAUUCUGUGGGCUGCACGAGGCGCUGAAAACUUUGCUAAUACUACUGCUAAGUGUGACUAGGGCAUAAUCUCUCUGAGAUGCCUAUCUCUGCAUGAGGAAGGCAUUUUACCCUAGAUAUAAAAUAGCUUGGCGGGAAUAAGGAGAGGGAAGAAUUGGUGUCAGCCUGCCUGCUGGAUAAUACCAGCUCUCCGAGAUGGUGUGGAUGUUUAUUUGGCCUUAAAGCAUCCGUAGCAUGGCAUGGACAAGUCCCCAUGAUUAAACCCACCGAUUUAAUCGUUGGUGAUGCGGGGGAUACUGUUCGGCUAGGGGACGGGAGAGGCAGACGGUAUUUUUGGGGUAGGGGUGAAAUCUAUAAUCCCGGGAGGACCACCAGUGGCGAAGGCGGUCAACUAGAACGCGCCUGACGGUGAUGGACGAAAGCUGGGGUAGCGAACCGGAAUUAGACACCCGGGUAGUCCCAGCCGUAAACGAUGCGGGUUGGUGUUGGUGCAGCAUCGAGCUGCUCCAGUGCCGCAGAGAAGUCGUUAGCCCGCCGCUUGGGAAGUCGGCUCAAGGCUGAACUUAAAGG